AACGAUCCAUUUGACCUAAGUGAGCUAAAAAAUGAUCCAUUUCACCUAAAUUAGCUCUUAAAUGAUCCAUUUCACCUAAGUUAGCUGAAAAAGAUCCAUUUCAACUAAAUUAGCUCAAAAAUGAUCCAUUUCAACAAAGUUAGCUCAAAACCGAUCCAUUUCAACAAAGUUAGCUCAAAAACGAUCCAUUUGACCUAAGUGAGCUAAAAACGAUCCAUUUCACCUUAGUUACCUAAAAAACGAUCCAUUUCACCUUAGUUACCUCAAAAAUGAUCCAUUUCUAACUUUCUUAUUUUGCCAUUUUGCAGAUUUCAUUAUGUGCUGGAUGGAGUGCUUGUUCUACUCUUCUUCUUCUUGUCUUCUCAUUCUUGUCUUCUCAUUCUAGUCACCUUAGCUAUGGAGUGCUUCUUUAUGUAUGAAAUGAUGGAUGGAACUUGUUUAUGUAUGAAAUGAUGGAUGGAACUUGUUUAUGUAUGAAAUGAUGGAUGGAACUUGUUUAUGUAUGAAAUGAUGUAUCAACUUGUUUAUGUGAAAUAUAUCUAUAUGUCAUAUAUAUUUUCUAUGCAAAUUGUG
rnacentral:lncRNA from 1 species